CCCGCGGAGGGCGCGGGCGGCCCGGAGACCGGCGGCGGGCAGUGCGCGGGGAAGGCGCCCGCCGCGGAAGCCGGCUGUCCGGCCUCUUCCCGGGGGACCCCUCCGAUCCCGGGCCGCAGCGCGAAGGCCGGCCCGCCUCUCCGUGUGCGCGAAGCUCAGGGACGCCGGGGGUCCUGUCUGGAGGCUCAGACUCCCCGGCGUUUCGCGCUGCUCAGUGUUAGCGACCUCUGCCCGGGGCCCGAGAGCCGCUUGGGCCAAGGCGCCCGGGGCCGGCCAGUGAAGACGACCCUGGUGUGGGCAAGGAGCAGGAGCGCUGGACCGCCGGAGGGAUCAGCGUCGCCCGAGGAAUGGCCUGGCGGACAUGUGGCUGGGGGUCACCUGGAAACUCAAGAGAAGUGAAAUAAGUAUCCAGAUAAUUCAGGGGAACAGCUAUGCUUCAUUUAGCAUUGUUUGAACAGCUUUCUACUUUUUUCAUCAGCAGAGUUUUGGCCUUUGGGUUUAUAGAUAGGAGAGAGCUUUCACAAAUUGGCAGAUCUGUGUACAGAGAAAUUUCCUUUCCAUGCAUCUUUUUAGGUUUACUAACUUUAUUUAUUUAUUGCAUUCCCAUUAAUCUCCAAGUCAGCACACUUUACAGCUUCCUCUUACUCUUUCUUAUUCUUUAAAUAUAGAAGUUGCGUUUUUGACUCCCGUUUCUCUAUUUUUUUCCAGAUAGGAUAAAGAGAGGUACAGAAGGUGAAUGGAGAACUAAGAAUUAUAUGAUUCAAUGGGUGUGGAGUAAAGUGGUCAAGAUUUUGAAGCAGAGUGUUUUGUUUUGUUUGUUUUUUGCCGCACAACACUACUGUAAUUUAAAUUUUAUCAGAUAUCACUUGAAGAUAGACUCAAACAACUAUUUAAAGAUUCCUAUAUGCGUAACGUGCUUCAGAUUUUGAGGCAAUUGUCUGCUGUACACCAUCUGAUUCCAGAGAAUUUGCUACAAAUCUAUGAACAAGUAAACUUCCAGAGAUGAAAUGCCCAGUAGGAGACAUGGACCUCUAUAAAGGAUUGGAUGCUGGAAGAUGACACCAGACAUCUGAGUCAGAGAAAAAGAAGCUUUUAUCUCAAUGCACAGCAUAAAAAGCAUGAACAUCAGAAUGUUUGCAUCAAUUCCUCUUGCCUCCAAGUUCCACAGGAGUGAUGCGAAGGGGCCCGGAUAGAUGCCACACAUGCAGUGGGUUGUGUUGCAGCAAGGAAACAAUGAGCUUGGGGAACCCACUGCUUUUCUGGCAAGCAGCAAGCUAAGCCAGCUCUUUGUCCCAGAGGAGAUGAUACUUCAUCUCUCAAGAUUGCUUGCUGCAAACAAACCAUGAAAAAUGGCUUGGGUAAAGAGUGGUGUGGUGGAAAGCCUGGAAGAUGGCCCAUAAUGGUUCUUGCCUCUGGGUAUUCACUCUUUUGCAGAUCCCCUCCAGUUGACUGUGGGCUGGACUUACCGACUUACUUCUUACUAACUGAAUACAGCACAAGUGACAGGAUGUUGCUCCUGAGGUGAAGUUAUAAAAAGACUGUGGCUUCUGUCUUGGGCACCCUCUCAUGUUCUCUCACUCACUCACUCUGAGGGAAGACAGCUGUCACGUUGUGAGUUGCCUUAUGGAGAGACCAGCAUGGCAAGGAAAGGAUGUCUUUGGCCAACAGUCAGCAAGGACUUGAGGCCUGCUAACAGCCACAUAAGUGAGCUUGGAAGCAGAGUCUCCCCCAUUCAAGGCUGGACAUGACUGCAGCCCUGGCCUACACCUUAUUGCAGCCUUUUCAGAGACCCUGAGUCAGGGGCACCUGGCUAGGCUGCACUCAGCUUCCUAAUCCACAGAAACUGUCAGAAAAUAAAUGUUUAUUGUUUUAAACCUA